rnacentral:rRNA from 1 species
AACGGCAGCAUGAUCUAGCUUGCUAGAUUGAUGGCGAGUGGCGAACGGGUGAGUAAUACAUCGGAACGUGCCCUGUAGUGGGGGAUAACUAGUCGAAAGAUUAGCUAAUACCGCAUACGACCUGAGGGUGAAAGUGGGGGACCGCAAGGCCUCAUGCUAUAGGAGCGGCCGAUGUCUGAUUAGCUAGUUGGUGGGGUAAAGGCCCACCAAGGCGACGAUCAGUAGCUGGUCUGAGAGGACGAUCAGCCACACUGGGACUGAGACACGGCCCAGACUCCUACGGGAGGCAGCAGUGGGGAA